AUUGAACGCUGGCGGCAUGCCUUACACAUGCAAGUCGAACGGUAACGCGGGGCAACCUGGCGACGAGUGGCGAACGGGUGAGUAAUGCAUCGGAACGUGCCUGGUAGUGGGGGAUAACUGCUCGAAAGAGCAGCUAAUACCGCAUACGACCUGAGGGUGAAAGGGGGGGAUCGCAAGACCUCUCGCUAUCAGAGCGGCCGAUGUCGGAUUAGCUAGUUGGUGGGGUAAGGCCCACCAAGGCGACGAUCCGUAGCUGGUCUGAGAGGACGACCAGCCACACUGGGACUGAGACACGGCCCAGACUCCUACGGGAGGCAGCAGUGGGGAAUUUUGGACAAUGGACGCAAGUCUGAUCCAGCCAUGCCGCGUGCGGGAAGAAGGCCUUCGGGUUGUAAACCGCUUUUGUCAGGGAAGAAAUCUUCUGGGUUAAUACCUCGGGAGGAUGACGGUACCUGAAGAAUAAGCACCGGCUAACUACGUGCCAGCCGCCGCGGUAACAC
rnacentral:rRNA from 1 species